rnacentral:rRNA from 1 species
GACGAACGCUGGCGGCGUGCUUAACACAUGCAAGUCGAACGGGCCUUGUCCCCUUUUUUUUUGGGGGUGGGGUUAGUGGCGAACGGGUGAGUAACACGUGAGUAACCUGCCCCUCACUUCUGGAUAACCGCUUGAAAGGGUGGCUAAUACGGGGUGUUCUGGCCUGCUCGCAUGGGUGGGUUUGGAAAGAUUCGACCGGUUUGGUUGUUUUGGUGGGGGAUGGGCUCGCGGCCUAUCAGCUUGUUGGGGGGGGGAUGGCCUGCCAAGGCUUUGACGGGUAGCCGGCCUGAGAGGGUGGGCGGUCACACUGGGACUGAGACACGGCCCAGACUCCUACGGGAGGCAGCAGUGGGGAAUAUUGCACAAUGGGCGCAAGCCUGAUGCAGCGACGCCGCGUGAGGGAUGGAGGCCUUCGGGUUGUGAACCUCUUUCGCCAGUGAAGAAGGUCCUGCUCUUUGUGGUGGGAUUGACGGUAGCUGGGUUAAUGAAGCGCCGGCUAACUACGUG